rnacentral:rRNA from 1 species
CCUACGGGCGGCAGCAGUAGGGAAUAUUGCUCAAUGGGGGAAACCCUGAAGCAGCAACGCCGCGUGGAGGAUGAAGGUUUUCGGAUGGUAAACUUCUUUUGUCAGGGAAGAGGAGAAGACGGUACCUGACGAAUAAGCCACGGCUAACUACGGGCCAGCAGACGCGGUAAUACGUAGGUGGCAAGCGUUGUCCGGAUUUACUGGGUGUAAAGGGCGUGUAGCCGGGUUGACUAGUCAGAUGGGAAAUCCUGCGGCUUCACCGCAGAACGGAAUUGGAAACUGUUGAUCUUGAGUACUGGAGAGGCAGCUGGCAUUCCUAGUGUAGCGGUGACAUGCGUAGAUCUUAGGAGGCACACCAGUGGCGACGGCGGUCUGCUGGACAGCACCUGCCGGUGCGGCGCGAAAGCGUGGGCAGCAAACAGGAUUAGCUACCCUAGUAGUC